UAUUUUAAAUGCACUAUUCCCAACCUUGAAAGCUAAACCAUUUGCUUGCAGGCUGUCAGGCAACACCAGUGCUCAGCCACAGAGCACCACCAACGCACAGGCAGCUCAGGGGCCUGGCCCCUUCCCACAGGAAGGUACUACGACGCCCCGAGCCCCGCCGCAGGCCCUCCCCAAGCGGGCAGAGAGGUACUUCACGCAGCUUCCCUGCGGUACCAGGGCUCGCUCUGCCCCAUGAGGGGGGCGGGUAGGAGGCGAGCCAGGCCCUCCGCAGCCGGAGCCGGGUAACGGAAGCCGGGUCACAGCCCACUUUUUGCCACACGUAAGCGCGGUCACGCCUAAGAGACUUCUAAGCCAACAAGCAGAGCCCCCGGCAGCCCCUCAGCAGGCCGGGACACCCCGCCCCACCCGGCCCCCCGCCGGGACACCUGUCUCUGCGGCCUUCCUAAACGCCCAGGUGUUGAUGACUACAGGCAGGGCGGCAGCCGAGGCAGCGCCCGCCGGCUGCAACGCGACGAGCAGGAGAAAGAUAAAAUGGACCAUUAUGAAAGAAAAGCACUUUGAUGUGGAUGUCAUUCAAAUAAAAGUAUUGACUGUGAUGGUUGCAUCUGCAGGCUGAGCCUGCACCGCUGUAGAGAGAAUAUUUUGUACAACUUGAAACAGCAUAACAUAAUGCUUUGAGGCCCAUGUAGAAACUCAGUUGUUUUGAUUUUUGUGAUGUGCGUUCUAACUGGCAUUCAAAUGUGAAUGACUUCCAGCUAGAUAUAAAUGCAAUAAUGAAUCCAUGCUUUACUGUAUGCUAUGUUAUUAAAUAUCAUAUUUUAAUGGUAACUGUGAAAAAACUCACAAAGCAAAGACUACUCUCAGAUACAGUGUGUAAAAUCAACAGAAAGGUUGAUAGAACUGUUUUUACAUGCUGAAAGCUGAGCAGAAUUUGAGCAGUAUCUGUCCAAGACAACUUUGCAAGUCAGUUCUGCUACAUCCAUCUGGGCUCUUGAUUUGCCUUCUGUCUCUGUAUAUCAGUAUUUUAAAAUUGGUCUUUGAAUUAAAAACUUGUUUGUAUUUUCCUAAGAAUUAGCUGUUGGUUUAUAUCAGUUCUUUCUAAAUGGGCAGUGAUAAUGUACUUUAAUCUGUUCCUCCCCCAAUACUUACUGUUAUCUGUAGCUAAGAUAAAUCAUGAUACCAGUAGACGUUUUUCUCUGCAGCUAAAAAUCAAAUCAUUGUUUCCACAGCGUUUUUGUUCAAGUGCAUAAUAUUAAAAGAAUAUUCGAGAGAAAUAGUUCUGUGGACAAGGGAUUACUGAGAGGAUCUAUAACAGACAACACUGUGACUGAAUGGCACUGGAUAAUUAAUGAAAUACACAGGAGGAGAUUCACCUCUUUCACCAAGAGUGUCUGUUCCUACAGUGGCCAAAUUCUGACCUGAAUUAUAUCUGUGUGACCUUAUCUAGCACCAUCUGUACAAAAAUGCAUGCCUGGUUCCUUUUUGCUGUCUCAAAUUUUCCGUAAAUGUGCUUUGAAAUCUAAUUAAGGAUUGUGGCUAUAUCUGUAAUUUGUUUACAUUUUAAUCUUGAUUUUGCUUACACUUUCUAAUAUCAACAUACACUAACAAAAACCAAAUCUGAGAAUAAUUUUCUUAGUGAAAAGAAUCAACCAUUCGAUUAGCAUUUGGUAUGGAAACUUAAGUGUGGUUUCUUUGAGGUUUUUUGGAGGGUUUUUUUGACACGUAGUAUUUUGAAUCCAUCAUGUUUCUAAUUAAAAUAUAUUUUUAAAUGACCCUGUGUUGUGGGUUUCUGUUUUGUGGAAGCACUGUACUCUUUUUUUUUCUCUUUGGAUCCCUUUCAUGGCUUCUUACAAUACGUAUGUUCUCCCAUUCACUGAACUACACUGGACAUUCAUGGCGAAUGUCUCCAUCACCCACCUCUUAAAUCUUCUAGGAAAGGCCCUUAUGCCCUCUCUCAUUUUCAAAGCUACUUAGUUAUACUUACCUGAAUCCUCCAUAAAAAAUCAGCAUCAGUGUCAGGUCUGUCAAAAUGUGUAAUGUUUAAAUCACACAAUUAUCCAGACCUCUGCUUCCCAUAUUGUUUUUCUGGUUUCAUGUCUUCCCUAGCAGCAAUCUUUUCCCAUGUGUUAUGUGUUCUCUUUUAGUUGUACUGUAAAGUCUCUUGGGUAUGGGUUGUCAUUUCAUUUUAAGUAUGUAUAGCGUACAACACCAGUGCGUCCUAGCUUAGCACUCUUUCAUCCUUGACAAUAUGUUGAUGAGCAUUAAUAUCUAUAAUGAGGAAAAGUACAGAUGAUAAUUAUAAUAACCAUGCAGCCAUCAAUAGUAACUAAACAGUAAUAGUUGUGUUUCCAUUGAUAAAUUUGCUUUUGUUACCACUUUUUUUAUCAGAUUGCUAAGUUACUUUCUUACUUUGUAACCUCAAAAUAAUUAUUACAUGUCACAGAAUAAUAUGUUCUUGCACUAUUAUUUUGGCCUGUUGUAGCUUUCUGUCUCAAAACAAGUUAUGUGUAAUAUAUUUCCUAGUUGUAAUUGCUAUACUGGUCCACCACAGUAAUAAAGUUGUCAUAUGGAACAUGUAAUGGACCACUUUACAUUGUUGGAACUGCCUUUUUUAUUACAAGUCCUUGUAACUUUAUGAUGUCUUCAUAAAUGUGAUCCAUAGCAAUAAUAAAUUUGUUGGACAAA